UACGGAGGGUGCAAGCGUUGUCCGGAUUUAUUGGGUUUAAAGGGUGCGUAGGUGGCUUGUUAAGUCCGGGGUGAAAGCCCACAGCUCAACUGUGGAACUGCCUUGGAUACUGGCAAGCUUGAGAGUAGUCGAGGGUGGCGGAAUGGACGGUGUAGCGGUGAAAUGCAUAGAUACCGUCCAGAACCCCAAUUGCGUAGGCAGCUGCCUAGGCUACAUCUGACACUGAGGCACGAAAGCGUGGGGAGCGAACAGG
rnacentral:rRNA from 1 species